GCUUUGCAGCACUCUGAUGUGUGCUGAGGUAGUCACUGAAUAAAUGUUGAGCAAAUGCUAUAGUUUUACUUUGGAUGAAGCAUCCCAUGUACAACAGUGAUAUUUUCAAAUGGAAAUGGAUUAUAUUAACCCACUUCUUUCCCUUUUCAUUACUGUCAGAUUAGACUGGUCCUGUUCAGUCAGGUUGGUCCCAACAAGAGCACUGUCUAGUCAUGAGGAAGAGCCUGAAAUCCUGUCUUCGGAGUAGUGAUGGAAAGUUGGGGAAUAUUUGCCCAAGACACUUUGAUAAAGAGCCACACACAGCCUGCUAGCAAACGGGCUGAGAAGUUACCGGAUGUUUAGUUUUCCUGCAUGGCCAUGUCUGGAUGCAAAUCAAGGAUGUGGGAGUCUUCAAAUCCUGCCAGGAUUUGACUAAGAUGCACUUUUGAAAGAUGUGCACUGUCCAGUUAUACACGGGACUGUCUGAGAGAAGCCUUACCAUGGAGAAUCCUGUAACGCCUGGUCCUGAAAGCAUCGUUUCCUGGUGACGCUUGCUGUGAAUGAUACAAGCUUCAGUCAACCCAGUGUCCCUGUGAAUCCUGAGGGCACUCCAGGAAGAGUCAUCAAGAACAGGCCUACAGGCCACCCCAUCCUUUGGACUCCAUCUGAAUUUCAGGUGGCCAUCCAGAGAGCUGAUAUGCAGGAGUGUUUUGCUAGACUCAUCUGUAGACUGUGUAAAAGGAAAGUGAAGUUAUGUGGAGCUGACUAGGUGGUUUUUCUUAGGAAAUCUACAGGAGAGCCUCAGUAUAUGAGAAGGUGGGUGCUGUGACUGAAGGUAAGGAAACAGCCUAGGAUAGCCCAGUGUCUCAGCCCAUCUCUCACCUGUCCUCCUGACUCACAGAUGCCCUGGGCUCCAGAAUUUCCAGAACCCCAAGGCCAUGGAAAAUCUCUGCU